rnacentral:rRNA from 1 species
CAGUAGCCGCGGUAACACGGAGGGUGCAAGCGUUAAUCGGAAUUACUGGGCGUAAAGCGCACGCAGGCGGUUUGUUAAGUCAGAUGUGAAAUCCCCGAGCUUAACUUGGGAACUGCAUUUGAAACUGGCAAGCUAGAGUCUUGUAGAGGGGGGUAGAAUUCCAGGUGUAGCGGUGAAAUGCGUAGAGAUCUGGAGGAAUACCGGUGGCGAAGGCGGCCCCCUGGACAAAGACUGACGCUCAGGUGCGAAAGCGUGGGGAGCAAACAGGAUUAGAUACCCGGGUAGUCCCUGUCUCUUAUAC